rnacentral:rRNA from 1 species
AUUGAACGCUGGCGGCAGGCCUAACACAUGCAAGUCGAACGAGUGGCGGACGGGUGAGUAACGUCUGGGAAACUGCCUGAUGGAGGGGGAUAACUACUGGAAACGGUAGCUAAUACCGCAUACCCUCAGAUGUGCCCAGAUGGGAUGGGCUGGUUGGUGGGGUAACGGCUCACCAGGGCGACGAUCCCUCGCUGGUCUGAGAGGAUGACCAGCAAAACUGGACUGGAGAACCGGUCCAGACUCCUACGGGAGGCGGCAGUGGGAAAUAUUGGACAAGGGGCGCAAUCCUGAUGCAGCCAUGCCGCGUGUAUGAAAAAGGCCUUCGGGUUGUAAAGUACUUUAAGCGGGGAGGCGUUACCCGCAGAAGAAGCACCGGCUAACUCCGUGCCAGCCGCCGCGGUAAUAC